rnacentral:rRNA from 1 species
GAGUUUGAUCGUGGCUCAGGAUAAACGCUGGCGGCAUGCCUAAUACAUGCAAGUCGAACGGGAGUGCUUGCACUCCAGUGGCGAACGGGUGAGUAACACGUAUCUAAUCUACCUUUUAGUGGGGGAUAACCUUUGGAAACGAAGGAUAAUACCGCAUAAGAUCUUCAUUAUGACAUCAGAAGAAGAGGAAAGAUCCGUUUGGAUCGCUAAAAGAUGAGGAUGCGGCGUAUUAGUUAGUAGGCGGGGUAAAGGCCCACCUAGACGAUGAUACGUAGCCGAACUGAGAGGUUGAUCGGCCACAUUGGGACUGAGAUACGGCCCAGACUCCUACGGGAGGCAGCAGUAGGGAAUUUUUCACAAUGGACGAAAGUCUGAUGAAGCAAUGCCGCGUGAGUGAUGAAGGUCUUCGGAUUGUAAAGCUCUGUUGUAAGGGAAGAAUAAGCCAGGAAGGAAAUGUCUUGGUGAUGACGGUACCUUACCAGAAAGCCCCGGCUAACUAUGUGCCAGCCGCCG